UGAGGAAUAUUGGUCAAUGGGCGAAAGCCUGAACCAGCCAAGUAGCGUGCAGGAAUGACGGCCCUAUGGGUUGUAAACUGCUUUUAUCCGGGAAUAAAGUGGGGCACGUGUGCCUUUUUGAAAGUACCGCAUGAAUAAGGACCGGCUAAUUCCGUG
rnacentral:rRNA from 1 species